rnacentral:rRNA from 1 species
CUGUCCUACGGGGGGCAGCAGUGGGGAAUAUUGCACAAUGGGGGAAACCCUGAUGCAGCGACGCCGCGUGAAGGAAGAAGUAUUUCGGGAUGUAAACUUCUCUCAGCAGGGAAGAAAACGACGGUACCUGACUAAGAAGCCCAGGCUAAGUACGUGCCAGCAGCCGCGGCAAUACGUAGGGGGCAAGCGUUAUCCGGAUUUACUGGGUGUAAAGGGAGCGUAGGCGGUUUAGCAAGUCAGAAGUGAAAGCCCGGGGCUCAACUCCGGGACUGCUUUUGAAACUGUGGAACAUGUU